rnacentral:tRNA from 1 species
GCGGUCGUGGCGGAAUUGGUAUACGCGCAACGUUGAGGUCGUUGUGGGGCAACCCGUGGAAGUUCAAAUCUUCUCGACCGUACCA